GGAUUAUGUAGGAUUAAUUCGAUGCAACGCGAAAACCUUACCUACCCUUGACAUGCUAGGAACUUGCCAGAGAUGGCUUGGUGCCCGAAAGGACCUAGACACAGGUGCUGCAUGGCUGUCGUCAGCUCGUGUCGUGAGAUGUUGGGUUAAGUCCCGCAACGAGCGCAACCCUUGUCAUUAAUUGCCAUCAUUCAGUUGGGCACUUUAAUGAGACUGCCGGUGACAAACCGGAGGAAGGUGGGGAUGACGUCAAGUCCUCAUGGCCCUUAUGGGUAGGGCUUCACACGUAAUACAAUGGUCGGUACAGAGGGUUGCCAACCCGCGAGGGGGAGCUAAUCCCAGAAAACCGAUCGUAGUCCGGAUUGUAGUCUGCAACUCGACUGCAUGAAGUCGGAAUCGCUAGUAAUCGCGGAUCAGCAUGUCGCGGUCGAAUACGUUCCCGGGCCUU
rnacentral:rRNA from 1 species